CGCACAUAGUAGCUCAGGGAAUAUUUGAUGAAUGAAUGAAGGAACUCUAAUACAGCCAAGAGACAGAAGAACAGGCUCCUCAGGGCAGUCUACAUCUUCAUUGUUUGGCCGGGAUACUUGUUUGAGGAACCCCUGAAGUGCUUCUGCCCAGCCAAGAUGGUUUCUUAGAGAAGAGUUUCAACAUGACUGCUGAAAGCAAAUGGGAGCCAUUGAAAGCUUUUGAAGGAUUUAGCUCCUGGCUCACUGUCACUCUCUCAAACACUACUCCUGUCAUGGUGAUGUGCAUGCUGCUGGACUGUGGACCUGCACUUUCAGUAGCAAAGUCCUAGACCAGGGGUUGGCAAACUUCUUCUGAUAGUAAAUAUUUUAGGCUUUGCA